rnacentral:lncRNA from 1 species
AGCCACAAAAAUUCUAAAAAAAAUUUGAAUAAAUUUGAUGCAAAAUUGAAAGAGUUUUGAAUUUCUAAAACUCUAUCUCAUAGAAUUCGAAAUCCAAACUUAUUCCUUUUUGAUUUGAUCCAAACCACCUUCCAUGUAAGAAAGAAGAGAGGAAACCUUUUGUGAACGUGGGAGAGACCUGGGAGAGGGCUUUUGUCGCAUAAAAUAAGUGAAGAUUGGCAUUGAAUAAGAGAGAGAGCGUGGGGAAGGCUUAUGUGGCACAAGGUGGAAUCCUAGUCUUACUAGGAUUCUAUCUUAUGUCUUGUUUUAAUUUGGUUUCCCAAACCAAAUCAAACCAAAAUUAGAUCAACCUAAUUAAAAUAGGUCUUAACCCAAUUAAGAACUUAAUUUAAUCAGAUUAAAUUAGAUUUAAAUUUGAUUUAAUUUUCUAAUCAAAUUAGAAAUUAGAUUGACCCAAGUCCUAGUUGAACUAUGACUAGUUUUUCCUUGCACUUGGCUUAUCCAAUAAACCAAUUGGACUUGAUCCAAUCAAGCCCAAACUAAAUCUAAUUAAAUCAUAUUUAAUUAGACUUAAUCUAAGCCCAUUGGCUUAAUCAAAUUAAGUCAAUUAGCAAUCGAAUUGCUAAUUGAUCCUCCUGCAAUACUUGCACUGGGUUAAAUGUCAAUCGUAUUGAUCAUUUAACCCUAGAACGAUUCUUAAUCGUUGAUCAACCAUCCGAUCGGAUCAUGAACUCUAAUGUGUAUGACCUCAUAGGUCCGAACCUAAGUCGGUAGUACAAGAAUAAAUUUCUGUACCAAUCGAAGUGACCAUCUAGCAAUGGUAUCCG